AGAUAAUCAGAAAGAAAAUAAACGAGAAAACUCUGUAAGAGUGUGUCCAUUUAUCAAAAUAGGCAUAUCAACAUAGCAGCAAACAUCUGAGUUAAAAAGCUUGGGUUAAAAUUUUCUAAUCAAAAUGAGCCCUAAACUGUCAUAGAAGAAAAAUCACAUUCGAUAUAGACUGUUUGUAAACCUUGUAUUGGAAUUUUUCUAGAAGGUUGACAUCUAAAGUUUAUUAUCAUAUCCAAAAUUUUCUUUUUCAACUUUUAAUAUAUUUAAAAGUUUAUGCUUUUUUUUUUAGAGUUUUUUUAAAGUCCAUUUUUAUUUCACUCCCUGUUCUUUUAUGUUCAAUUUUAUUAAAAGAAAUGAGAAUGUGCAAGAAUAAGCAGUUUGCUAAUUGAUUGUGUAUUUUUCUGUCAUAUGCUUUCAAUCGUUCUGCAUUAAAAAAAUCGUACAUGUGAAUAGGAAGGAACCUUGACGUGGUUCAUGUGCUUUAAAACAAAUACCUUCCAGACAGAAACUUUCUGAUACCUUGUGUAAUACGUUGUUUACAUAAAAUACGUUGAGGAUUUUGAGAGAUGAAGGGAAUAAGCAGUAUGAAAAAUAAAUGCUUAAGAAGAUGUUUAACAACGACAAUGAACUUCAAAUAUUUUUUUAAAUGUUAUUGUUAAUUGCAGUUAAUUUAUAUUAACAUAUUAUUUAUGUAACAGUGUGUAAGAUAUAUAUGAAAUUGUGUAUUUAAUUUUAAAAAUUUUUUA